CCUACGGGAGGCAGCAGUGGGGAAUUUUGGACAAUGGACGCAAGUCUGAUCCAGCCAUGCCGCGUGCGGGAAGAAGGCCUUCGGGUUGUAAACCGCUUUUGUCAGGGAAGAAAUCUUCUGAAUUAAUACUUCGGGAGGAUGACGGUACCUGAAGAAUAAGCACCGGCUAACUACGUGCCAGCAGCCGCGGUAAUACGUAGGGUGCAAGCGUUAAUCGGAAUUACUGGGCGUAAAGCGUGCGCAGGCGGUUAUGCAAGACAGGUGUGAAAUCCCCGAGCUCAACUUGGGAACUGCACUUGUGACUGCAUAGCUAGAGUACGGUAGAGGGGAGUGGAAUUCCGCGUGUAGCAGUGAAAUGCGUAGAUAUGCGGAGGAACACCGAUGGCGAAGGCAGCUCCCUGGACCUGUACUGACGCUCAUGCACGAAAGCGUGGGGAGCAAACAGGAUUAGAUACCCUGGUAGUCCACGCCCUAAACGAUGUCAACUGGUUGUUGGGAGGGUUUCUUCUCAGUAACGUAGCUAACGCGUGAAGUUGACCGCCUGGGGAGUACGGCCGCAAGGUUGAAACUCGAAAGGAUUGACGG
rnacentral:rRNA from 1 species